rnacentral:rRNA from 1 species
UCAGGCCUAACACAUGCAAGUCGUACGAGGUGCAAAUAAUUCACUUGUGAAUUGUUUAUUACUACAGUGGCGCACGGGUGAGUAACACGUAAGAACCUGCCUUUUGGAGGGGGAUAACAUAGGGAAACCUUUGCUAAUACCCCAUAAAGCUGAGGAGCUAAAUCGCAUUUGCGGCCAAGAGAGGGGCUUGCGCCUGAUUAGCUAGUUGGGGAGGUAAUGGCUUCCCAAGGCCACGAUCAGUAGUUGGUCUGAGAGGAUGAUCAGCCACACUGGGACUGAGACACGGCCCAGACUCCUACGGGAGGCAGCAGUGAGGAAUUUUCCGCAAUGGGCGAAAGCCUGACGGAGCAAUACCGCGUGAAGGAAGAAGGAUCGUGGUCUGUAAACUUCUUUUCUCAGAGAAGAAGAU